rnacentral:rRNA from 1 species
AAAUUGAAGAGUUUGAUCAUGGCUCAGAUUGAACGCUGGCGGCAGGCCUAACACAUGCAAGUCGAACGGUAACAGGAAGCAGCUUGCUGCUUCGCUGACGAGUGGCGGACGGGUGAGUAAUGUCUGGGAAACUGCCUGAUGGAGGGGGAUAACUACUGGAAACGGUAGCUAAUACCGCAUAACGUCGCAAGACCAAAGAGGGGGACCUUCGGGCCUCUUGCCAUCGGAUGUGCCCAGAUGGGAUUAGCUUGUUGGUGGGGUAACGGCUCACCAAGGCGACGAUCCCUAGCUGGUCUGAGAGGAUGACCAGCCACACUGGAACUGAGACACGGUCCAGACUCCUACGGGAGGCAGCAGUGGGGAAUAUUGCACAAUGGGCGCAAGCCUGAUGCAGCCAUGCCGCGUGUAUGAAGAAGGCCUUCGGGUUGUAAAGUACUUUCAGCGGGGAGGAAGGGAGUAAAGUUAAUACCUUUACUCAUUGACGUUACCCGCAGAAGAAGCACCGGCUAACUCCGUGCCAGCAGCCGCGGUAAUACGGAGGGUGCAAGCGUUAAUCGGAAUUACUGGGCGUAAAGCGCACGCAGGCGGUUUGUUAAGUCAGAUGUGAAAUCCCCGGGCUCAACCUGGGAACUGCAUCUGAUACUGGCAAGCUUGAGUCUCGUAGAGGGGGGUAGAAUUCCAGGUGUAGCGGUGAAAUGCGUAGAGAUCUGGAGGAAUACCGGUGGCGAAGGCGGCCCCCUGGACGAAGACUGACGCUCAGGUGCGAAAGCGUGGGGAGCAAACAGGAUUAGAUACCCUGGUAGUCCACGCCGUAAACGAUGUCGACUUGGAGGUUGUGCCCUUGAGGCGUGGCUUCCGGAGCUAACGCGUUAAGUCGACCGCCUGGGGAGUACGGCCGCAAGGUUAAAACUCAAAUGAAUUGACGGGGGCCCGCACAAGCGGUGGAGCAUGUGGUUUAAUUCGAUGCAACGCGAAGAACCUUACCUGGUCUUGACAUCCACGGAAGUUUUCAGAGAUGAGAAUGUGCCUUCGGGAACCGUGAGACAGGUGCUGCAUGGCUGUCGUCAGCUCGUGUUGUGAAAUGUUGGGUUAAGUCCCGCAACGAGCGCAACCCUUAUCCUUUGUUGCCAGCGGUCCGGCCGGGAACUCAAAGGAGACUGCCAGUGAUAAACUGGAGGAAGGUGGGGAUGACGUCAAGUCAUCAUGGCCCUUACGACCAGGGCUACACACGUGCUACAAUGGCGCAUACAAAGAGAAGCGACCUCGCGAGAGCAAGCGGACCUCAUAAAGUGCGUCGUAGUCCGGAUUGGAGUCUGCAACUCGACUCCAUGAAGUCGGAAUCGCUAGUAAUCGUGGAUCAGAAUGCCACGGUGAAUACGUUCCCGGGCCUUGUACACACCGCCCGUCACACCAUGGGAGUGGGUUGCAAAAGAAGUAGGUAGCUUAACCUUCGGGAGGGCGCUUACCACUUUGUGAUUCAUGACUGGGGUGAAGUCGUAACAAGGUAACCGUAGGGGAACCUGCGGUUGGAUCACCUCCUUA